rnacentral:lncRNA from 1 species
UAGAGAGAGAAGAGGGGAGGGGAGGGGAGNUCAGUUUUAUGAAAUAAUACUUAAGAUGUAAGUGAUAACUAUUUUUAUAAUAUAUAAGUAAUAGAAAAUACAAAGUACAAUGUUACUAGUAACUUCUCAUUUUUUCACCUCUCCUUAUAAAUAAAUGAUAAGUGAAACAUGACAGUAUAUUUGAAUAAAUAUAAUGUUAGGAAGUGAUGUGAAUCCCAAUGUUUAUAAUGUAAGUGCUUCUAACUACCCCAAAACAAAAUUUCCCUGUACAAAAUUUUUAUGAUCCUUUCCCCUUCUUCUCUCUAAAACAGGUCAGCAGUGCCAAACUUUGUCAUUAGCUUUUUUACAUCUCAGUUGUCCCACCUGUAAAUUAGGUUUACUGAUGUUUCCAUAGAUCCCUGAUCUGUGCAACAACAUUGUUAAGUAUCUCAAAAUUCCUCAUUAACUCUAAAUAAAAGAAAAUUAUUGCCAGCACGGUGGUUGAUGCCUGUAAUUCCAGAAGCUUGGUAGGCUGAAGCAGGAGUAUUUCAAGUUCAAGGUCAGCCUCAACAAUUUAGUGAAUCCCUAAGCAAUUUAGCAAACCUGUCUCAAAAUAAAAAGGGUUGGGGAUAUAGCUCAGUGGUAAAAUGAACCUGAGUUCAAUCCCCAGUACCAGAAAUUACUAAAUAAAAGAAAAUUAUUAACACAAAUUUUCCUUAUGAAAUAAAUUUAUUUUAAGAAAUAUUCUAGGAUAAAAAUAGAACAAGAAAAUGUAUCUCUGUUUUACAAGUAUACACAGUGGUCUUUUAUUAUGUUCAAAUUGCUGUACUAUUGUUGCUUCAUCUGAUUUUGGGGGGAGGUUACAUUUUGGGAUCUUGAAUAUAAAAAGUA